rnacentral:rRNA from 1 species
AGUCGUUCUGCCCAUUGAUUUUAAAAGGCUGCGGUAUAUUAACUGUACAAAGGUAGCAAAAUAAAUAGUUUUUUAAUUGAGAACUUGAAUGAAAGAGUUGAUAAAAUAUAAGUUGUUUCAAAUAUUUAAAUUAAAUUAAAAGUUAAAAUGCUUUUAUUUUUUUAUUAGACGAUAAGACCCUAAGAAUUUGAUUAUUUAUUAAAUUUUGAAAAAUUUAUUAUAUUAAAAUUAUUUUAUUGGGAGGAUAAUAAAAUGAAACUUUUAUUUAAAUAAAUAUUUAUAGAUAAAUUUAAUGAUUGUUUUUAUGAUUAUUAGGAUAAAUUACCUUAGGGAUAACAGCGUUAUAAUUUUGGAGAGUUCAUAUUGAUAAAAUUGUUUGCGACCUCGAUGUUGAAUUAAAAUAAAAUUUAAAUGAAGAAAUUUAAAAUUUUAGUCUGUUCGACUAUUAAAAUUUUAC